rnacentral:RNase_P_RNA from 1 species
UUUGCAAGUCGUUCUAUCGCUGGCACGUCUCAGGGCGAGCUGGAGGAAAGUCCGGACACCGUAGGGAAGCAUAGCGGGUAAUCCCCGUCGUCCCAAACUCGUUUUGGGAGAGGACCAGUGCAACAGAAAGUAUGUACAGAUAAUGCUGUAGUGAAACCAGGUAAACUCUAUGCGGUGCAAUGUCAAGUAUACCCACAGUUAAGUGCGUCCCGUGCGUUGUGGGAGGGUAGGCAGCUAGAGUGUUGCAGUAAUGUAGCAUCCAGAUAAAUGAUAGAAGUCACGCCUUGCGUGAUACAGAAUCCGGCUUAUAGACUUGCUUUAUCA